rnacentral:lncRNA from 10 species
UCCAGUCUGCCGCAGCCUCUUAAGGGUGAGCCUCAGAUGCCGCGUGAACAGUCUCUGAGAGUGAAGACCAGACUGCACGUCUGCCGUCCCUCCCAGGACCGACUGAUGGAAAUGGUAGUGCCAUCGGCUGAGCCCCUGCCACCCUCUUGCUCCCUCCCGGGUCCCCACAGAUGCACCAGGCACCCUAAGUCACCUUACGGGCGUUCAGAAAGUCAUGGCUGUGUGUACCGAGCAUUUCCCACCAUCAGAUACCACCUGGGUACUCAACUUCAUGGACUCGCUUCAUUUUCACAGCAACACGCAAACGAGAGCAUCGCCCCAUUUUAAAAAUAAGGAAACUGAGUUCAGAGAAGCUCAGUAACUAUCCAAGGCCACCCAGCAAGAAAGUGGCUGAGGCAGGGUUUGACCCCAGGGGCCGUGUUCUCUCCAUCUCCUUUCAUAAAGGUCAAGGCAAACAAAUUCUCCAAAAAGAGAAAAAUGUUAAAAGCUGGAAAUAGAGGCCCCAUUGCUAACAUUCAUGUGCAAAGAUCUGCCUGAAGAAUUGUCUUUUGUGUUCUGAAGUCCAGGAGACAUGGCCUCUCAAACCCAGAGGGGAAGUUCACUCCCGGAGCUUCUGUGAAGUCCCAAGUCCUUUCUGGGAAAGACGAGAGAUGAAUCCAGCCCUAGCAUUUGCCGUGAUCAGUGUCUCUGCACAGGCGCCCACCUAGGAGAGCCUCCCAGGGUGUCCACCACCCACCCUAACAGUGAACAGCAGAUACGCUGCUCCUUCAAAUCCCACCCUGGUGGC